rnacentral:rRNA from 1 species
UUCCGGUUGAUCCUGCCGGACCUGACUGCUAUCGGAUUGAUACUAAGCCAUGCGAGUCAUUGUAGCAAUACAAGGCAGACGGCUCAGUAACGCGUAGUCAACCUACCCUAUGGACGGGAAUAACCUCGGGAAACUGAGUAUAAUGCCCGAUAGAACACUAUACCUGGAAUGGUUUGUGUUUCAAAUGAUUUAUUGCCGUAGGAUGGGACUGCGGCCUAUCAGUUUGUUGGUGAGGUAAUGGCCCACCAAGACUAUUACAGGUAUUCGGGUCUGCUGAGAGGAGUGGCCCGGAGAUGGGUACUGAGACACGGACCCAGGCCCUAUGGGGCGCAGCAGGCGAGAAAACUUUGCAAUGUGCGAAAGCACGACAAGGUUAAUCCGAGUGGUUUGUGCUAAACGAACCUUUUGUUAGUCCUAGAAMCACUAACGAAUAAGGGGUGGGCAAGUUCUGGUGUCAGCCGCCGCGGUAAAACCAGCACCUCAAGUGGUCAGGAUGAUUAUUGGGCCUAAAGCAUNCCGUAGCCGGCUCAGUAAGUUUUCGGUUAAAUCUGUACGCUCAACGUACAGGCUGCCGGGAAUACUGCAGAGCUAGGGAGUGGGAGUGGUAGACGGUACUCGGGAGGAAGUGGUAAAAUGGUUUGAUCUUUCGAUGACCACCUGUGGCGAAGGCGGUCUACCAGAACACGUCCGACGGUGAGGGAUGAAAGCUGGGGGAGCAAACCGGAUUAGAUACCCGGGUAGUCCCAGCUGUAAACUAUGCAAACUCAGUGAUGCAUUGACUUGUGGUCAAUGCAGUGUUGCAGGGAAGCCGUUAAGUUUGCCGCCUGGGAAGUCGUCGC